UACAGAGGUCUCAAGCGUUGUUCGGAUUCAUUGGGCGUAAAGGGUGCGUAGGUGGCUAUGUUAGUCAGGUGUGAAAUCUCGGGGCUCAACCCCGAACCUGCACUUGAUACUGCCUUGCUAGAGUACUGGAGAGGAGAUUGGAAUUUACGGUGUAGCAGUGAAAUGCGUAGAUAUCGUAAGGAAGACCAGUGGCGAAGGCGGGUCUCUGGACAGUUCCUGACGCUGAGGCACGAAGGUCAGGGGAGCAAACGGG
rnacentral:rRNA from 1 species